rnacentral:rRNA from 1 species
GUAGGUGGCAAGCGUUGUCCGGAAUUAUUGGGCGUAAAGCGCGCGCAGGCGGUUCUUUAAGUCUGAUGUGUAAGCCCACGGCUCAACCGUGGAGGGUCAUUGGAAACUGGAGAACUUGAGUACAGAAGAGGAAAGCGGAAUUCCACGUGUAGCGGUGAAAUGCGUAGAGAUGUGGAGGAACACCAGUGGCGAAGGCGGCUUUCUGGUCUGUAACUGACGCUGAGGCGCGAAAGCGUGGGGAGCAAACAGGAUUAGAUACCCUGGUAGUCCACGCCGUAAACGAUGAGUGCUAAGUGUUAGGGGGGUUUCCGCCCCCCUUAGUGCUGCAGCUAACGCAUUAAGCACUCCGCCUGGGAGUACGGCCGCAAGGCUG